rnacentral:rRNA from 1 species
CCGGCACGGGUGAGUAACACGUAUGCAAUCCACCUGUAACAGGGGGAUAACCCGGAGAAAUCCGGACUAAUACCCCAUAAUAUGGGCGCUCCGCAUGGAGAGCCAUUAAAGAGAGCAAUUUUGGUUACAGACGAGCAUGCGCUCCAUUAGCCAGUUGGCGGGGUAACGGCCCACCAAAGCGACGAUGGAUAGGGGUUCUGAGAGGAGGGUCCCCCACAUUGGACUGAGACACGGCCAA